rnacentral:rRNA from 1 species
GACGAACGCUGGCGGCGUGCCUAAUACAUGCAAGUCGAACGCACAGUUUAUACCGUCUCUUGCUGCACCAUAGACGGUGAGUUGCGAACGGGUGAGUAACGCGUAGCUAACCUGCCUUGUAGCGGGGCAUAACUAAUGUAAACCAUAUACAAUACAGCAUCAGAUUAAUUAUUGCAUGAUAAUUAAGUGAAAGGUGCAAUUGCGCCGCUACCAGAGGGACCUGCGUUGUAUUAGCUAGUAGGUGAGGUAACGGCCAAACUAGGCGGCGAUACAUAGCCGACCUGAGGGGGAGGUCGGACCGACACGGACUGAGAGACGGACGAGACUCACUCGGGAGGGAGCAGUAGGGAAUCUUUGGCGAAGGACGAAAGUCUGACUGAGGCACGCCGGGGGAGUGAAGGAUGUUUUCGGACCGGAAAGGUAUGUUGUAAGAGAAGGAAGGGUGCGAGAGUGGAAAGUUGACGCUGUGACGGUAUCUGAACAAAAAGCGACGGCUAACUACGUG